rnacentral:snoRNA from 1 species
AAGACUCUACUUUCAGGGAUCAUUUCUUUAGUCUGGAACUAGAGGAUUGUGUUUCUACAGAGGUUGGUCUGGCUGUCCAUGAUGAUGAUGAUGAAGAUGUUUCCUUCAGAGCAGGAAGCUGGUGAGAAGAUGAGAAUCUUCUUCACUGAUGAAGACUGUUCAGUGUUUCUGGAUGUGACACUGAAGGAGGAAACAUUGUCUGAGUGGA